CCAACCCCUGUGACAUACCACUUGUUGCCUCGGCGGAUCAGCCCGCUCCCGGUAAAACGGGACGGCCCGCCAGAGGACCCCUAAACUCUGUUUCUAUAUGUAACUUCUGAGUAAAACCAUAAAUAAAUCAAAACUUUCAACAACGGAUCUCUUGGUUCUGGCAUCGAUGAAGAACGCAGCAAAAUGCGAUAAGUAAUGUGAAUUGCAGAAUUCAGUGAAUCAUCGAAUCUUUGAACGCACAUUGCGCCCGCCAGUAUUCUGGCGGGCAUGCCUGUUCGAGCGUCAUUUCAACCCUCAAGCACAGCUUGGUGUUGGGACUCGCGUUAAUUCGCGUUCCCCAAAUUGAUUGGCGGUCACGUCGAGCUUCCAUAGCGUAGUAGUAAAACCCUCGUUACUGGUAAUCGUCGCGGCCACGCCGUUAAACCCCAACUUCUGAAUGUUGACCUCGGAUCAGGUAGGAAUACCCGCUGAACUUAAGCAUAUCAAUAAGCGGAGGA
rnacentral:rRNA from 1 species